rnacentral:tRNA from 2 species
UAGAAAAUAAUACAAGGGAAGUAUGGAGGGCUUUGAUCCCUUUUGUGUAGGUUCGAUUCCUGCUUUUCUAA